AAGAAUAGAGGUUGACCAUCAGGGAUUUUAUUUUCCAUACUUGAAGACUUAAGUUACUUCUACCAAACAGAGAGAAGUGGUCAUAAUAGAUAAAGAUGGAUAACUGGUCGCAGGUAUAUUUAUUCUAGGGUCUAAAGGUUGUUCAGUCUGCUGUAGCAGUGAGUACCUGGGGAGAUGUCAAUUUCUCAGAUUAGAGGAGUUCCAUAUAAUUGGAUCCUGAAAAUUGGUUUUAGAGAUUUAGAAAUAUAUAAAGGAGUCAUUUUAAUUUUGAUAUUCUUGCACAGACUAUGAGUCAGAAAUCCUCAAGUUAAAUCUGCCAGAGUUCUUUGGUUAUUAAAUUUCAUGUUUUGGAGAAUAAGAUAUGUGUCACCUAUUCAUGGUAAUGAGGAGAGAAGAAGAAGGAAUUUCCACAGAGACUUCAUGUGUGCUCAAACAGCAGACUCUAUCUUGGUGCCAGGUCAAUAAAUCUUGAUAUUCACUUCAACAGAAGCCAAUAUCUUCAGAUUAUGAGUUAUUAAUCUUAGCCAAACUGAAAAAUUGUGUGAAUAUUUUUCUUUUACUAGAGAAAAUGAGGGCUUUUUUGGUCUCCUUUUUCUUCAGGCUUUCUUAAGGAG
rnacentral:lncRNA from 1 species